UACGUAGGGGGCAAGCGUUGUCCGGAAUCAUUGGGCGUAAGGAGCGUGUAGGCGGUUCGGUAAGUCGGCUGUGAAAGUCCAGGGCUCAACCCUGGGAUGCCGGUGGAUACUGUCGAGCUCGAGUCCGGAAGAGGCGAGUGGAAUUCCUGGUGUAGCGGUGAAAUGCGCAGAUAUCAGGAGGAACACCAAUGGCGAAGGCAGCUCGCUGGGACGUGACUGACGCUGAGACGCGAAAGCGUGGGGAGCAAACAGG
rnacentral:rRNA from 1 species